GACGAACGCUGGCGGCGUGCUUAACACAUGCAAGUCGAACGGAAAGGCCCUGCUUUUGUGGGGUGCUCGAGUGGCGAACGGGUGAGUAACACGUGAGUAACCUGCCCUUGACUUUGGGAUAACUUCAGGAAACUGGGGCUAAUCCCGGAUAGGAGCUCCUGCUGCAGGGUGGGGGUUGGAAAGUUUCGGCGGUUGGGGAUGGAUGCGCGGCUUAUCAGUUAGUUGGUGGGGUAGUGGCUUACCAAGGCUUUGGCGGGUAGCCGGCCUGGGAGGGUGACCGGCCACAUGGGGACUGAGAGACGGCCCAGACUCCUACGGGAGGCAGCAGUGGGGAAUAUUGCACAGUGGGCGGAAGCCUGAUGCAGCAACGCCGCGUGCGGGAUGACGGCCUUCGGGUUGUAAACCGCUUUCGCCUGUGACGAAGCGUGAGUGACGGUAAUGGGUAAAGAAGCACCGGCUAACUACGUG
rnacentral:rRNA from 1 species